UGCAUCCUCCUUCCCAGCUCCUUGUGCAUGGACGUCACAGCUCUGGAAAAACAUCCUGGAUCUGACCGAGCUUACAUGUGUGGAGUCAAGGAGGUCUCCCAUGCUGGAGGUGUCUACAGGCUGAGGAUGAAGCUCAGGGCACAAGGCUGGAGGAGGAGGGGCCACACCCCAGACAGGACACCAGUGACUCGCAAGACACCCCAAGCAGGACUCGAACCCCAGACCCACCUCAGAGCAGGAGCCAGCCAAGCCUACUGGGCCACCACACCCCUGUGGAAAGUUGCUGUUCCUGAGGUUCACUUUGCUAGCAUUUUCUUUGCCUGUGUGGUCUGAAUCCUACUCCUGAAAGAGAUGCCAGAACAGUUUGGUAAGACACAUGCUUGCUUGGAAUACACACACACACACACACACACACACACACACACGCGCGCG
rnacentral:lncRNA from 1 species